rnacentral:rRNA from 1 species
AUUGAACGCUGGCGGCAGGCCUAACACAUGCAAGUCGAGCGGAUGACGGGAGCUUGCUCCUUGAUUCAGCGGCGGACGGGUGAGUAAUGCCUAGGAAUCUGCCUGGUAGUGGGGGACAACGUUUCGAAAGGAACGCUAAUACCGCAUACGUCCUACGAGAGAAAGCAGGGGACCUUCGGGACUUGCGCUAUCAGAUGAGCAUAGGUCGGAUUAGCUAGUAGGUGAGGUAAUGGCUCACCUAGGCGACGAUCCGUAACUGGUCUGAGAGGAUGAUCAGUCACACUGGAACUGAGACACGGUCCAUACUCCUACGGGAGGCAGCAGUGGGGAAUAUUGGACAAUGGGCGAAAGCCUGAUCCAGCCAUGCCGCGUGUGUGAAGAAGGUCUUCGGAUUGUAAAGCACUUUAAGUUGGGAGGAAGGGCAGUAAGUUAAUACCUUGCUGUUUUGACGUUACCGACAGAAUAGGCACCGGCUAACUCUGUGCCAGCCGCCGCCGUAA